rnacentral:lncRNA from 1 species
GAACAAUGAGCCUAUCCGAUCAUAAUGAAUUUAGGAUAGAAUGAGAAAGAGGGGAAUGGUGGAGUAAUGGAUUCAUUAGGGCAUGAUGUGUGUAUUAAAUAAAAAAUGGGGUCAUUUUCUCCAAAUAUGAGAAAAACGUCAAAAUAAAAACGAAAAAAAGGAAAAAAAAAGAAAAAAAGAAAAAUAAAGUGUUGAAAGUCUUUGAGUUAUGUGUAUUGUGGCCCGUAAGAGAAGGCACAAACAUGAGUGAAAAUUAGAACAUAACUUUCCCAUAAUUAAGUUAAAUAUGA